GCCUUCGUGGUGUAGUCGUCAUCACGCUCAGCUCGUAUCCGAGAGGUCCGUGGUUCGACUCCCGUCUAAGGCA
rnacentral:tRNA from 1 species